GAUGAACGCUGGCGGCGUGCCUAAUACAUGCAAGUCGAGCGAACAGAUGAGGAGCUUGCUCCUCUGACGUUAGCGGCGGACGGGUGAGUAACACGUGGAUAACCUACCUAUAAGACUGGGAUAACUUCGGGAAACCGGAGCUAAUACCGGAUAAUAUAUUGAACCGCAUGGUUCAAUAGUGAAAGACGGUUUUGCUGUCACUUAUAGAUGGAUCCGCGCCGCAUUAGCUAGUUGGUAAGGUAACGGCUUACCAAGGCAACGAUGCGUAGCCGACCUGAGAGGGUGAUCGGCCACACUGGAACGGAGACAAGGUCCAGACUCCUAAGGGAGGCAGCAGUAGGGAAUCUUCCGCAAUGGGCGAAAGCCUGACGGAGCAACGCCGCGUGAGUGAUGAAGGGCUUCGGAUCGUAAAACUCUGUUAUUAGGGAAGAACAAAUGUGUAAGUAACUAGGCACGUCUUGACGGUACCUAAUCAGAAAGCCACGGCUAACUACGUG
rnacentral:rRNA from 1 species